UGGGGCCCAGAUCGUUUACCGUGAAAAAAUUAGAGUGUUCAAAGCAGGCAGAUCCAAUUUUCUGCCACCGAAUACAUUAGCAUGGGAUAAUGGAAUAGGACCCUGUCCUCCUAUUUUCAGUUGGUUUUGGCAGCGCGAGGACUAGGGUAAUGAUUAAUAGGGAUAGUUGGGGGCAUUAAUAUUUAAUUGUCAGAGGUGAAAUUCUUGGAUUUAUGAAAGAUUAACUUCUGCGAAAGCAUCUGCCAAGGAUGUUUUCAUUAAUCAAGAACGAAAGUUAGGGGAUCGAAGACGAUCAGAUACCGUCGUAGUCUUAACCAUAAACGAUGCCGACCAGCGAUUAGGAGACGUUGAAUACAAAACACCACCAUCGGUGCGGUCGUCCUUGGCGUCGGUCUUUCGGGGCCGGCGCGGGGACGGCUUAGCCCGGUGGCACCGGUGAAUGACUCCCCUAGCAGCUUGUGAGAAA
rnacentral:rRNA from 1 species